rnacentral:rRNA from 1 species
GAUGAACGCUGGCGGCGUGCCUAAUACAUGCAAGUCGAGCGAACAGACGAGGAGCUUGCUCCUCUGACGUUAGCGGCGGACGGGUGAGUAACACGUGGAUAACCUACCUAUAAGACUGGGAUAACUUCGGGAAACCGGAGCUAAUACCGGAUAAUAUAUUGAACCGCAUGGUUCAAUAGUGAAAGACGGUUUUGCUGUCACUUAUAGAUGGAUCCGCGCCGCAUUAGCUAGUUGGUAAGGUAACGGCUUACCAAGGCAACGAUGCGUAGCCGACCUGAGAGGGUGAUCGGCCCACCUGGAACUGAGACACGGUCCAGACUCCUACGGGAGGCAGCAGUAGGGAAUCUUCCGCAAUGGGCGAAAGCCUGACGGAGCAACGCCGCGUGAGUGAUGAAGGUCUUCGGAUCGUAAAACUCUGUUAUUAGGGAAGAACAAAUGUGUAAGUAACUAUGCACGUCUUGACGGUACCUAAUCAGAAAGCCACGGCUAACUACGUG